AAUCGGUCAUUUUCAUUUCUUUUCCAUUUCCAAGACCAACCAAACAUGUCCUAAAAAUAAGCCUCAUUGCACUAAUUGCAGCAGUACUUGUAUUUUUGCCACCCUAGACAUCUACACUUACACACAGAUCAUUCAGAUGAAGGAAAAUCUUAUAAACCAGAACAAUUUAUACUAUACAAUCUUCAAUAAUCACAUCCUCAUAAAACUUGAAAGCAAAGAUGAAACUGAUUUACUAUAAGCUUUUCAUACUAUUAGAUGAUGCAGUAUUCAAUACAAAACCCGUAUGUUUUGGUUGACCCAGUUCAUUUAAAAAUUUCUUUUAUAUAUUUUAUUUAUUCCUUCAUGUUCAUUUUCAUAGCAAUGAAAAUGUCAAGGCUGCCCAAGAAGAGAAGGCCUGUAGAAAGCAUGGCUUUGAGCAAUCUCAAUGCGUUCCCUGGGAUCGUUCAGAGUUUCAUCCCUUAGUGCUUGCAAAAUAGCUUGUGAUGAAUUUUCCCUUGAUAUAAGUAUUUUGUACAGUGUUUUUAAGAUGGGGCAGAGCUCAACAGGUGCAACAGGCUUCUUUCCAUCCGGAUGCAGUACACUCAAGCUUGGCUGACUCAGGAUUUCAUAGAAAGCUUUAACUGCAGAAACACCCUGAAUCAUUCCUUUUCCACUAAUGCUAUCACCCAUAUCCCUGUUCAAUUCCCCUUUGGCUAACAUUUGGCCGUACCAUGCAUUGCGACCUUUUAACAAGGUUACAUAAGUGUCUGAUAGCAAAGGCCCUGCAAGCUUCUCAGGUUCUUCAGCCAGUAAAUGAGUAAUAAAUAUCAUCUCUGAUGUACAAUGUGCAAAAUAUACUGACUUGCUGGUAGCACUCUCAUUAGUAAGGGCUGCUACCAUUCCGGCUCCAAUGGCAUAGACAUUCUUCAGACCACCCAUGACUUCAUGAGUGAUAAGGUCACUGUUGUCCCAUACAAUGAAAUGCGGUUGCCUUAGAAACUUAGCAAGAGGCUUUCUCCACUUUUCAGCUCCGCAUAUUCGAGCAUUAGCAUAUUCCUUGUUAUAUAUUUCUGAAGCAAUAUUUGGUCCACCAAGAUAAAGUAUAUUCUCCAUACUCGCCCCAGUCACUCUAUUAAUCAUCUGCGUGGGAGUAAUUAUACGAGGAACAGGUUGCAAAGCAGCUUCUAUGCCCUUUGCUAAAGAGAUAAUGAUAGGCAUGGUAAUUCUCUCCUUCCAAUAAUGACUAAUCUCUUCAAACACCUCCAAUGUUUCUGUUGAAGGCACACCAUUCACCACAAUGUCUGCAUCCCAAACAGCCUCUUGCAGAUUAGUCACAACCUUCAAAGGACAGAGUGGAGUAUCAAUCAUGUUCAAGCAAAAUCCAUCUUUCAAAAUCUCAUCUGCAUAAAGAGUUCGGUCACCUAGCCUUGCCUCGACGUAUUUCAAAUAAGCACAUCUCCGGAUCAACCUCCUCAAUACAUCCUCUCUUGAAUUGAUCACUUCAAAGAGAUGUUCUGCUGUGGCUCUAUCAACAGCUCUUCCAGGCCUUCUCCAAAUCCUGAUUUGGACCUUCUGUCGAAACUGACCAUAACUAUCUUGCAACAAAGCAGCAAAAACACUUCCCCAUGCACCUGCUCCAACACCAACGAUCCUUAGAGGAUCACCAUCAGCCUUUCCAAGAAGGCUUCGAAGCUCAUCAAGCUUCUCUUCCAGACCAUUACCAUUGUGAAUAGACCAUCCAUUUUGAUGAACAUUCAUUGUCUCGAUACUUCCAACCAUCUUGUUCCAGCAAAAACAACACCAACAAAUCAACCAAAAUCGACAGUAGGAAAUCAAACCGGAAUACUUCAAUCCUAACAACUGAGUACUUAGUUGGAUUUUAUUCAAUUUCAGGAUUCCUUAGUACAAACCAACAUUAAAAUUUCCUCAACUAAAUAUAGCAAAUAAUAAAAGGGACCCAACUCUGAAUUUUAUACUAAUUUUGCUGACACAAUCCCAAAUUCCUCAAAUCUUCCCCUAGAAACAACGGAUUUCCGCCUCCCAAGUUGCCAAUAUGCAUUAAAGGAGUCAAAUCUUUAUUGGUAGAUCUUACUACCAACACCAAAACUAAUAUUUCAGCUAUUUACUAAUUUUCAAACCAACCGACCAAUAUACUUCUUUUAGUACCUCUCAAAUCGGGGUAAAGGCAACACAAUAAUACAAUACUAAAGAAUGAUACAACACCAAUAUUAUCUUCUUAAAUAAGAGUUCCUAAGCAAAUGGCAAAUGGGAAAAGUUCAAAUAUUCAAAUCCUGUAGCUUUGUUUUCUCCGCCUGAGUUUGUUCAUCUACCCAACUAAAAACAUCUAAGACAACAAGAGAAGCAAAUAAUAUAUGAAUAGGAAAGGGAGUAAAGGAAAAAGAACCAAGUCAAAAUAAUACACCGACCUUUCAUGUGUCGUUAACUACAAAGCUCCUUUGCAUUCAAUCCUCUGAGUCAUGACCCACAAAAGAAUUUUCAAGAUUUCAACAUGCAUUAUUGGAGGGAAAUCAAUAAAGCAUGAAACCCAGCAGAAAGAAACAGAGACUGAGGGUGAAACUUAACAUCAAAAGAGCGUGCCAGGUGAGAAAGAGAAGCAAGAAAAUGGUGGUGAUCGAUGGCGGAGUGAGAGAGGAAGGGCAUUGAUGGGUAAAGUUGAGUUGGAUAUGUAGAGAUUGGAAGAGCAUUAAAGAUUUGGGAUGGUGCCCAACUCCCCCAACGGUCAUUAACAUUGAAUGACUUUCUCCUGCCACCCUUCCAUUUCCG
rnacentral:misc_RNA from 1 species